rnacentral:rRNA from 1 species
CGGGGUGAGUAAUAUCUGGGAAACUGCCUGAUGGAGGGGGAUAACUGCUGGAAACGGUAGCUAAUACCGCAUAACGUCGCAAGACCAAAGAGGGGGACCUUCGGGCCUCUUGCCAUCGGAUGUGCCCAGAUGGGAUUAGCUAGUAGGUGGGGUAACGGCUCACCUAGGCGACGAUCCCUAGCUGGUCUGAGAGGAUGACCAGCCACACUGGAACUGAGACACGGUCCAG